AUGUUGAAGAAGCCGAUUCUGAGACCGACACGUGAGCAUGCAAGGCCCACCUCCUGGAUACCACCGACGACCGGACAUGUGAGGAUCAAUGUCGAUGCAGCUACUCCUAGAGCGGGAGGUUUUGGUGCGGUGAGCGUUGUUGCACGUAAUUCUGACGGUAUCUAUCAGGGAGCUUCUGCAGUAAUUUUCAAAAAUAUUGAUGAUCCCGAAGUUCUGGAAACUCUAGCGAUCAGAGAGGCGUUAGCACUGGCUAAUGACCUGUAAAUUCAGCAAGUUCGUGUGGCGUCUGAUUGCAAGCAGGCCGUCGAAGCCAUUAAAGGUGGAACAACUUCAUCGUAUGCGGCAAUUGUGCUGGAAAUUAAAGCAAAAUCUACUUCUUUAGUUUCUUGUUUAUUUAGCCAUGAAUUUAGAACCUCGAAUGUCGAGGCUCACAGACUAGCAAAGCACGCGUUAACGCUCGGGGUUGGCCGCCAUGUCUGGUUAAGUCACCCUUGAGAUCUUUUGUUCGUCCCUGUAAACUGUGUGACGGAUGAAUAA
rnacentral:rRNA from 1 species